GGAGAAGAGGAAGCCAGAGAGAAGGAAGUGGCCACGGGGAUAUAUGGACCAUGAGCACAUGGCCAUGAGGGCUGGCCUGACGGAACAGAAACAACCCACACAGGAACAAUUAUGGCAGCUCAGCUGUUGGUUCCUAUCCUGGAGUCUGAAGGCAGCUAAGAAAUCAGCAACCCAGCAAGUACCCUUCCCCACAAGAGUGGCUUUCUACCGGGGGCUCCAUCCCCUACACCUCUUCUUGGACUGAAAUUUUAUGACUUUUAUAUUAAGUGGAAAGUUGAAGCUUCACAAAGAAAUAAACAGAAAGCAAAACACAACCUAGAACACUCUUCCUGGGAUCUUAGCAAGCUUGUUUGCUGUGCGUGCAUCAGUCAAAGGUACCCUGAUAGCUUUGGGAAAAGACACAUAAAGAGAAAGGCAAGACAGAUUGAUACUGGAUCCAGAAUGAAGGAGCCUGGAAGGGUAUUUCGCUACACGGAUGGAGAACGUCCUCUUGGGUAAUACGAACACCAAUACAUAGCUCCUAAACAAACAGAGACGAUUUUUUUUUAACUCAU